AAACAAUGGUGUGGAAACUUCCUCAACAUUUCCUUGAAUCUCUCCUAUGCUUCAUAUAAUGAUUCAUGGUCACCUUGUACAAAUGAGGUAAUGUCAUUUCUCAUCUU